CUUGAUGGAUCCGAGCCACAGCGGGUCGUCCCUGGAGCGGCCCUGUCCGUAGGUGGCGAGCAGGGCCUGCGCCUC
rnacentral:antisense_RNA from 1 species